UCCGGCUAACGCCACUGUUAAACAGACGUGUUGAAACACCAUGGCUGACGAAGCGUUUGAAAACUUCGAUGAGGAUGCGACGGCACCGCAGGAGGUCGACGAGACCGCGCAGGAUGACCAGGUGGCUCAGGUCUACGAGGAAGCUCCCGUAGUCCAGACGGCUGAGCUGCCCGAAAUCAAGCUGUUCGGCCGAUGGAGCAGUGAUGAUAUCGAUAUUUCCGACAUUUCCGUUUCGGAUUAUAUCGCCGUGAAGGAGAAGCACGCCAAAUACCUUCCCCACUCGGCUGGUCGCUAUGCGGCCAAGCGUUUCCGCAAGGCCCAGUGCCCGAUCGUCGAGCGUUUGACCAACUCGCUGAUGAUGAAGGGACGCAACAACGGCAAGAAGCUGAAGGCGGUGCGCAUCGUGCGUCACGCGUUCGAGAUCAUGCAUCUGCUGACCGGCGAAAAUCCUCUGCAGAUCGUGGUCCACGCCAUCAUCAACUCGGGCCCGCGCGAAGACUCCACCCGUAUCGGUCGUGCCGGUACCGUCCGUCGUCAGGCCGUCGAUGUGUCUCCUCUGCGUCGUGUGAAUCAGGCUAUCUGGCUGCUGUGCACCGGAGCUCGCGAGGCUGCAUUCCGUAACAUCAAGACCAUUGCCGAAUGUUUGGCCGAUGAGCUGAUCAACGCCGCGAAGGGUUCGUCCAACUCCUACGCCAUCAAAAAGAAGGAUGAGCUGGAGCGUGUCGCCAAGUCUAACCGAUAAAAGGCUUUUUCCAUCUCACGCUUGCGUGCGUGCAUGCUUGCGUUUGUCCCUUGUGUUGGAAAUGGAUGGGCUGCGAUGAGUGGUGGUAUUGCAUAUUCUCCCUGCCAUCCGGGGGGAGUAUGGGGUUUGCGGCGACAUCUUGAACCCCUAGGUGUGUGUGUGUAUCAAUACCACCCCGUCAUCAUCAUCGCAGGGGAAAAGAAAAGGGGAUUUUGUGUAGCGAGUGUGUGCUAGCUUCUUAAUAGCACACGCUUGAUGCGUUAUCACCCUUGAAAAGAAAAGAGGUGUCAAUAAACUAAAAACCAGGAAAUCCAAAAAAACAACACGCUGUGGCUCUCUCUAGUUAAGACUUAUUUGCUUUUGGUUUUCGAUUUUGAUAAACCGAAACGACGCACUUUUUGAGGGAUGGAAAGUUUUUCGUUUAAUUUCUCUACAGGUUGCGCUAAUGGGGUGCGGCUGGCGUGCCGGUGACUUGUGAACGACAACACAGAACAAGGAACAAUCAAUGGAGCCGGUUUAAAGAUGACGCUCUAGAGGACGGAUGUGAAUUGUACUUGUCUUGCUCUGCUGCAAUAUUUACCAAAAGAUUGGAAAGCACAACAUCCAUCCCAUCGGAGAGGAGAACGAGUUUGGCUGAAUUGAACUUAACUUAAAAUGAUUCCUUUUUGCAGCGGCCCCGUGAGUGAUUGACGGCUAAAGACCCUUGUAAAGAAAAGAAGAUCGAUUGACAGCAAGCAGCAGUGGUGGAACUCAGUCGACGAUAAGCAACGUGGCGAUCGUCUCUAUUGUACACACACGCACACUAUAUUAGAUAUCGUGUUGCGGGGUGGAACCUUCUUGAUGAAAUGUCUGCUGACAUCUGAGGAAGCUAGAAAACGAUAGUGAUAUCCGGGUUGGAACGUCCUAUUUACCGUCCAUCGAAAAUGAAACCCGAUCCCACUUGGAAGUGAAGGAAUUGUAAUGAUGAUUUGUGCACACAGAUCGCGUGCUCUUAAGUGUGGUGGUGCCCGGUGUAUAUAAUAAAAAAGAGAACAUGACAUAUCGACGUGAUGUAUCCCCCCCCACUGAACUGAAAUCACAACACCAGGGGAGGGUUCGUGUCGCGUACUGGGAGGCGGUCUGGAUGGGAUUUGAACCCCCCGCAACUGAACGUUCCUUAUCACUAAUGUAGAGAGUUAGAGUUUUCUCCUAAGCCGGCCAUCGGAUGAGGGACGACAUAUUUGGUUGAAGGCUACACACACAUCAUCCAAAUUCAAAUCAAGCAAGACUGUGCGGCGAGCAAUAGCCGCUUCUUCUUCGGUUGGUACUUCGUCUUCCUGUUGUUACCCGGAAUUUAAUGUACCGUCGAAUUGAAUCUGUUCUUAUGAAAAAGAGGUUUACUUUCGGAGAUGAUGCUGUUGCAUUCAUUCGAGGCUCUUCGGAAAGAAAAGAUACGAACUUGAUGGACGUGUGAGCAUCAUUUCAAUCGGAUAUAGGAUAAGAUUGACUGGAUUGGUAGAUGCCUUCCUCUGACUCAGGUAAGUAAGAUUCUCCAUAAAGGAUGUGAAAAGUGAUUGAAAUUAAUAAAGGAAACGCGUUGAAGCAAACGAAAUAUUGA